CACGUGCAGGCAGGUGACAGCAGCGGUCCUGGCUCACGAGUCUGCGGUCAAAGGUCCGUGCUUCCCUUUUCUCGAGUAUCGCCAGAGUUUUUCUUUCAGAUCAGGGUGUGCUAUUUUCUUCCUAUCGCAGCUGUCAGUCUUCAAGGCUAAUCCAGUUCGGAUCAUGCCAGAAGCGGACAUCACAGGUGCCAUGAUUCCUCCGCACGAGUCACUAGUCCUGGUCUAACUGAACACCUAGCUACUGCUCACAUGUUGCUUGCUAAAUCUCUCUCACCUAAUACGGCCAGAGCUUACCACACAGGGUGGAACACAUAUUGUAGGUUCCAGGAGCGGUUCCCUCAGGGGCAGUCCAGCUUUGUAGAAUACGUUCUUGCUUUCAUAGGGUUUUGUCACUCAGAGUUGAAGUUAUCCCAUAAUACGGUUAGGUCCUACCUAGCAGGGGUUCAGCACUUUCUGGCUGUGAGCUACCCGGAUCGGGGUUCCUUAUUCUCUGUCCACGCUGUUAAGGCCGCUUUGAGGGGUCUGGGUAAAUGUAGCGUGAAAGGACGGGUCCGUAGACAAGCUAUUUCAGGUCAGGUUUUACGUGAUCUCUCUGACGCCUUAGACAAGGGUCCUUAUGGUUUCCUCCUUAGCCUAGUGCUCAAAGCUGCUAUUUAUUUAGCCUUUAUGGGUUUUUGAGACUUGGUGAGUUCACGAGCUCCUCCAACAGCAGUAAGUUCGUAGCGAUUAGCCAACUGGUUCCGAGUGUUGAGGGUUUCUCUUUACUAUUGCCAGUGUCGAAAACGUCACAGGUGGGUCCUCCGGCUCAGGUGUCAUUCUUCCCCACAGAACACCGUUGGUGCCCCGUCAGUGUACUCAAUCAGUUACUGGCAGCAUUAGAUGGCCUUGGGCCGAGUAGUCCAUAAUUGCUUUUCGGCCAAUCGCCUCUCACAACCCACCAAUUUGUGUCCCAUAUACGCCCUCUGUUGGCCAGCUUAGGUGUGGAUCCAGCUUCGGUGUCGGGUCAUUCAUUCCGCAUCGGGGCUGCAUCCGCAGCUUCAAAAAAUCAGGUGCCGACGCACGUCAUCCAAAAGUUAGGUCGCUGGCGGUCAUCGUGUUUUAGCAGGUAUAUUCCUCAUCCUAAGGUCGAAAUGUCGCUUGCUUUUCAGAAUCUGGUUCUGUAAUUUUGUGUUGU